rnacentral:rRNA from 1 species
UACGGGGGGGGCAAGCGUUGUUCGGAAUUACUGGGCGUAAAGGGCGCGUAGGCGGUUGGAUAAGUCAGCUGUGAAAACCACGGGCUUAACUCGUGGCCUGCAGUUGAGACUGUCUGGCUUGAGUGUGGGAGAGGAGAGUGGAAUUCCUGGUGUAGCGGUGAAAUGCGUAGAUAUCAGGAGGAACACCGGUGGCGAAGGCGGCUCUCUGGACCACAACUGACGCUGAGGCGCGAAAGCUAGGGGAGCAAACAGGA